rfam:Hordeum vulgare subsp. vulgare, WGS project CAJW01000000 data, contig: morex_contig_8454
UUAGUACUCCCUCCGUCCCAAAAGGCUUGUCUUAGAUUUGUCAGAUACGGAUGUAUCUAGACUCAUUUUAGUGUUAGAUACAUCAGUAUCUAGAUAAAUCUAAGACGAGUUUUUUGGGACAGAGGUAGUUAGUA